AGCAGCCGCGGUAAUACGGAGGGUGCGAGCGUUAAUCGGAAUUACUGGGCGUAAAGGGUGCGUAGGUGGUUUAUUAAGUUAUCUGUGAAAUCCCUGGGCUCAACCUGGGAAGGUCAGAUAAGACUGUUUGACUCGAGUAUGGGAGAGGGUAGUGGAAUUUCCGGUGUAGCGGUGAAAUGCGUAGAGAUCGGAAGGAACACCAGUGGCGAAGGCGGCUACCUGGCCUAAUACUGACACUGAAGCACGAAAGCGUGGGGAGCAAACAGGAUUAGAUACCCUGGUAGUCCACGCCGUAAACGAUGUCAACUAGCUGUUGGAA
rnacentral:rRNA from 1 species